UCUCGUGUGUACCUGUACACCAAAACCACACGGGGUGAGAACUAUAUAAAUAUAGUUUCCAGUGGGUUCGGCCGCCGACUCCGCCGAUCUUCUCACUAGGUCCAAGCUGGCACAGAUAGAUAGAUAGAAAGACAGAUAGAAAUAAUUGCUACUAUAUCUACUAUGCCAUCAAAUGCAAAGGAUGCAUGGAAUGUCAUCUAGCAAUAACCUACUAUCAUGCUAGUAUAUUUCAACAGUGUAAUGAAUACAACUACAACAUAGUUAUGCAGUCUACUAUGUCAAAUCAUGGCAUGAAUGCAAUCCACUUAUGCAAUUCCUGUUACCACCCAAUCAAUUAGGCUAACUUGCCUAAGGUCUCAAAUCUUAAGGUCCUAGGCAAAGAACUACCCCGCUCCUUGCCCGACUCGUAUCUCAUAGGUCCGACCCAAUCUCGAAAGUCCUAGGCAAAGAGCUACCCCGCUCCUCGCCCGACUCAAUCUCAAAGGUCCUAGGCAAAGAGCUACCCCGCUCCUUGCCCGACUCAAUCUCGCUCUACUAGGUACAAGCUGUCCCUCUCAAAUCUCAUAGGUGAAGGAAUAGUAUGUCCACUCACUAUAUGUAGGCAAAUCCACUAGUCCAACUACCAAGUGACUAUGCUCAAUGUCGAUGCAACUCAUGGUGGAAGCUGGCUAUCAUACUACUAUGUUGAACAACGAUGUCAUUCAUCUGAUCACCCAAUCUCUCAGCGAACACAAGGCUCGCACACUGUCUCACGUGUAUCAAUCUCCUAGGGAGGUGGCUAGCUCUUCACCUACCCCGAGACCGCCUGCGGACACUACACUGGUCCAAGGGCAACUACACUGACCCCCUCGCGUGCCAAACUCCGGAGUGCACUACUUGUGAGGAGCUACCUCCACAGGUGCAGACAGGCUAUGUGAGCUCGAUCCAAUCUCAUGAACUAGGAACAUCCUAUCAACUAAGGAUAGUGUCAUCAACUGGGAACACCCUAUUAUCUAGGGUUAACAACUCAUCAACUCAAUGCCAAUCUAAUACUCAACCUUCUAGUGUUUCAACUACACUAAGGUUCUCAUAUGUGCUAUCAACUAGAUGCCACUCGUCAUAGGUUAACAUUAACUAGAUGCCACUCGUCCUUUACAAGUUUCCAAGACUCUAGUUCACACUUUACUAGGUUCUUCGUUCACACAACACAAACACUAGGUUAUCAUUUGCCUAGGUUCCAAUCCGUCACAUAUCAUCUCAUAUAGGGUUAAGGUGCACACACUAACUUCAUGCAUACUAGAUUCAAGUGUUAUAUCUACCAAGCUACACUAACACUAGCAUGCAAAUAUAGAUACAAGUUUCUAAACACCCUAUAUGCAACAUCAUAAUAUGCAACUUGAUCAAUGACAGUUUAAAGUUUCCAAUGCAGUAGCCAAUACAUUAUUAAGUUCUCAUCCACACCUAACAUCUCAUUAUAGGGUUUCACAUCACAUAUAUAAACCUCAAGCAUGCUAGAUAUAAGCACUAAGCCAAAUACAUUACUCUUUCAAGAAGCAUGCAAUAUAUAUAUAGAACCAACCAUCAACUAUCACCCUAUAAUGCACGGUAUCGAUAUACAAUAUGCUACAUGUGAAUGGAUAAAUACUAAGACAUAGGAAGAAGCCCGAUUGCUUCGGGAUGGCACUCCCCCAUCUUUUACCGCGUUCCGAUUGCUCGUCGUCACUUGCAAUUGGUCUCCCGCGGCGCACGCCGCUCGGCUCGACCCAAUCCAUGCGCGACCACCAAACGACCUCCGAUCCGCGAUCUGAAAAUUAUAGGUCUUCGGUUUCUCGCUACGGUGCUUCAAAUCCGUUUCCACGAUUUUACGACGUCGCCUCGGCCCUCCAGGCGGAAACGAAGCCUAAACGUCUGUUUCUUUAAUAACUUUGUAACGGCUCGUCGGAUUGCCGAACCGUCUUCGCCAACGUGUUUCGUUACCUACCAAUUAGGUUUAUAGAGGGUUAAAUGAGAUCAAACCCUACUAGUAGCAAAACUUGCACUUUAGAGCCCUAGGUUACAACUAGGCAAUAAAUCAUUAAAUCGAUCUAUGAUUCAAGCAUCAAUCGUCUAUUUAGCAUGCUAGAAUAGCUCUAAAUCUAUCCUUGAAGCUUAAAACCCAAACUGCAAAGAGAUACCAUUAAGGGUUUUGAAGCUUACCUUCAAAGAAUGCUCCAAUGGAGAGGAAGAAGUUGGAGAAGAUGAAAAUCCAUCCUUGAGCAUCAACCUCCACCAAAAUCCUCUCUCUUCGGGAGAAAUCUAGAGAGAGAAAGAGAUUUCUCUCUUUUUCCUUCCAUGCGUGUGUUGUGUGUAUGCGUGUGUGUGUGUGUGUGCUAGUUGUGUACGCAGGUUGAAGGAGGAGAAGAAGAGCAAUGCUCUUUUCCACAAGCAGCCCCCUCAACUAUUCCACUUUUCAGUUUAGUCCCUCAAAUCUGAUAAGUUUCGCCGGAGCCUUUCUGAAUGUCCGUUUGCGCUCAAAUUUGACAGGUAGUCUCGGUUUAACGUACUGAGUAAGAAUAUAUCUUAAGUUUUCAGUUUCGACCCCGUUUGGUCACUGAAAACUGUGCCGAACUGCAAUCUUUAUCAGAUAGCCUUCGGAUUUUAUUUCUCACUCUACGGGUGUCAGAAAAAUAUGAAACUUUAAAUCUAGCCUCAUAAAAUUAAUUCUGACAUAUCCUCCAGUUUUCAUAAUUUUCUGACACUGUGCAUUUUCUGCUAAUUUAUCUGCCCCGUUUCUCACAGAAAAUUCUAAAUCUUUUGUUUUCGCUCCGAUUUCAGCACAAGUCAUUUCUAACUCAUAUUUCACUUCUCCAAAUCCAAUAAAAAUAGUAUCUCAUACUAUUUUUAUUUAUUUUUAUUUUUAUAUUUAAAUCCGGUAUAUUACAUUACACCGCAACCUUACCGGAACCAUUCAAAUGGCUCUCCAACCAAAUGGACACCGUAACUUCAUGAUUUUAGAAGUUCGGUACCUUACAAAGGAUGUCUCACAUGCACCUCAACCCUAAAUCCACUCAACUGGGAUGCAACUAAAACUCAUGUAAUGCAUCAAAUAGUGAAGAUUUACUAUCAUGCUAACGAAUUCGAUCCAUAUUCGAAUAAUAAUGUUCAAUGACAUUGUUCGCUAUUCUUU
rnacentral:lncRNA from 1 species